CGGCUGGGUAAUGUAGCCAGGUCGGCUGGGAAAUGUAGCCAAGUCGGCUGGGAAAUGUAGCCGGGUCGGCUGGGUAAUGUAGCCAGGUCGGCUGGGUAAUGUAGCCAGGUCGGCUGGGAAAUGUAGCCAGGUCGGCGAACUUGGCGGCCCGAGGCACAGUUUAAGUGGACUUCACGCAUGACCGCAAAUACAGCUAUACUGUAGGCUUGUGUUGGACAAGAUGGAGCUGAUUGCUAACAUUUCACACCGUACCAUGGUGCUGUACAAUGGAACAGUCAGGCCUCUGCUCAACCGUACACAUAGGUGUGACCGAAACGCAGCAGACGGCAGUGCUGUGUACGUGCCUCUUAUCCAUGGGGUGGUGAUGUUCCUGGGCUUGUUUAUGAACUCGUACAUGUUGCUGAUACUUCAUUCGAGAAAGGGAAGGAGGAAGAGGCCUG
ensembl:lncRNA